AUAUUCUCAAGCAGAGUUUGAUCAAAACAUCACUUUUAAACUUCAGUCACCAAAAGGAUGUAUUGAAUUAAUAUUUAAUGAUGAGCAACAAACAGAACCAACAACUGGAUGGAGAAUAAAACCACAUUUGGACCCAUGUCAAAUUGAAGAGCACGAAAUACUUGGUUUUGGUGACAUUAGUACUACAAUUCCUCCAUCUUGCCUGGUAUCAAUAUAUGCUGAGAAUAGUCUCCAUACUGUACCUAACUUGAGUUAUUCUGUACCAUUGAAAGGAGUACAAAAACGAAGGAAGAUUAAAAUUAACAGGUCACUGAGAAAUUUAUUAAAUGCAGGUAAUUUUGUUGGUACUAAAGACUGAUGUUCCUAUUCCUGGUUCACAUAAUGACAUCAAGAAGCAUCUUAAUGAUCUGAAACGUUUCCUUUCAACUUCAGAAGCAAAGUUUCGUGACAUAGCUAAUGGUUGUAAGGAGGUACAAAUUAUUGAUUCUUCUCAGUAUGAUGAGUUAUUUGAUGGAAUGAAUAACCAGUCUUUAUCAAAAAGAGUAGAACUUUUCAUUGGAAAUAUUACAUUAUUAAUUGAACUUUGUCCUGAUCACAUUAGUACAUUCUUGUCUAUACUGAGGGAACAGGAUCUUGUUGUUCUUUCUACAUUAGCUGACAGGAUUGCUGCUUCAUUAAGUAGAUGAACAAGAUAAUUAUUACAGGAGCAAUGACAUUAUAAAUACUUAAUGUUUUUAUGCACUUUUUUACCUUAUGUGAUGUGUGUGUAGUUUUGUGUUUGUAUUUAACUU